rnacentral:lncRNA from 1 species
CGUCAGGCCGCCACGCAGUCACUAUUCUCCCGGCGCCCCACGGGGCAGCACGUACUGCGCAGACUCCGCGCUGUGGCCGGCCGCCAAUGCGCCCAGAGGAGGUGGGCUGAGAACGAGUGGCGCGUCCCUGAGGGGGCCUAGGUCGGCUGGGCAGCCGUCGAGUACCACGAGGCGCGCGGGGACCCGUGGCUAUGGUGCCCACUGGGAGGCUCGGGAGUGUGAGGCCGCGGGGCCGCAGCCGCCCACCGCGCCUCUCCCCGCCCCGCGUUCCGCCGCCAGUCGUCGUGCUGCAAGCCGGGCCAAGCGUCUUGAAGGAGGCGUGAGCCUAACAAAACGUGCGGCGCUCAACUGCGGACUAAAUCAAAGAGUAUUUCACACCUUCUCUGGCAGAAACCUUUUCACCAUUUUAGGACUCCUUCUUUUGAAAGGAGCUGAAACGUGAGCGGCUGUGCAGGUACCACUGAAGAGGGCCCAGUGUGAAGGACACACUCUGCAUUCCUCACCAUGACCUUUGCCUGACACCCUUGAAUCCUUUUGUAUUGUCAUUGAGAAUUAACACCCAAUAAAAGAUGACUGGUACAUAGAAAAAAAAAAAUU